AACGAACGCUGGCGGCAUGCCUAACACAUGCAAGUCGAACGAGAUCUUCGGAUCUAGUGGCGCACGGGUGCGUAACGCGUGGGAAUCUGCCCCUUGCUUCGGAAUAACAGUGAGAAAUUACUGCUAAUACCGGAUGAUGUCUUCGGACCAAAUAUUUAUCGGCAAGGGAUGAGCCCGCGUAGGAUUAGGUAGUUGGUGGGGUAAUGGCCUACCAAGCCGACGAUCCUUAGCUGGUCUGAGAGGAUGAUCAGCCACACUGGGACUGAGACACGGCCCAGACUCCUACGGGAGGCAGCAGUGGGGAAUAUUGGACAAUGGGCGCAAGCCUGAUCCAGCAAUGCCGCGUGAGUGAUGAAGGCCUUAGGGUUGUAAAGCUCUUUUACCAGGGAUGAUAAUGACAGUACCUGGAGAAUAAGCUCCGGCUAACUCCGUGCCAGCCGCCGCCGUAAGAC
rnacentral:rRNA from 1 species